AGAGUUUGAUCCUGGCUCAGGAUGAACGCUGGCGGCGUGCCUAACACAUGCAAGUCGAACGGAAACAGGACUUUCGCUAAGCUUCGGCUUAGUUGUUUGUUUAGUGGCGGACGGGUGAGUAACGCGUGGACAACCUGCCGUAUACAGGGGGAUAACAGAGAGAAAUUUCUGCUAAUACCGCAUAAGCGCACGGGGAGGCAUCUUCUUGUGUGAAAAAGAUUUAUCGGUAUACGAUGGAUCCGCGUCUGAUUAGCCAGUUGGCGGGGUAAAGGCCCACCAAAGCGACGAUCAGUAGCCGGCCUGAGAGGGUGAACGGCCACAUUGGGACUGAGAGACGGCCCAAACUCCUACGGGAGGCAGCAGUGGGGGAUAUUGCACAAUGGGGGAAACCCUGAUGCAGCCGACGCCGCGUGAGUGAAGAAGUAUUUCGGUAUGUAAAGCUCUAUCAGCAGGGAAGAAGCAGACGGUACCUGACUAAGAAGCACCGGCUAAAUACGUGCCAGCAGCCGC
rnacentral:rRNA from 1 species